rnacentral:lncRNA from 1 species
UUUUUAAAAAAUGUUAUAAUAAAAAAUAUAUUUGUAAUUAACAAAUACUAAAAAAAAAUUGAAACUACCUUAUUUUGCACAUUAUUUAUUUCUCUUUUAUUUUCUACUUUCUAUCUCCUCGUUUUUUUUCUCUUAAUUCAAAUUUCAAAUUUCUCCCACAUUUCUUUUUCUCACACUUCUUUACUUUCAUUUUAAUAUUUUCU